UACAGAGGUCUCAAGCGUUGUUCGGAUUUAUUGGGCGUAAAGGGUGCGUAGGCGGCGAUGUAAGUCAGGUGUGAAAUCUUGGGGCUUAACCCCAACAAGCAUUCGAUACUGCAUUGCUAGAGGACUGGAUGCGAGAUUGGAAUUCACGGUGUAGCAGUGAAAUGCGUAGAUAUCGUGAAGAAGGCCUGUGGCGAAAGCAAGAUUCUGGGUGACGACUGACACUGAGGCACGAAAGCCAGGGGAGCAAACGGG
rnacentral:rRNA from 1 species